CCUACGGGAGACAGCAGUGGGGAAUAUUGCACAAUGGGGGAAACCCUGAUGCAGCAACGCCGCGUGAGUGAAGAAGUAUUUCGGUAUGUAAAGCUCUAUCAGCAGGGAAGAAGAAAGGCGGUACCUGACUAAGAAGCCCCGCCUAACUACGGGCCAGCAGCCGCGGUAAUACGUAGGGGGCAGGCGUUAUCCGGAUUUACUGGGUGUAAAGGGAGCGUAGAAGGGUGUGCAAGGCUGAGGUGAAAGCCCGUGGCCCAACCGGGGAACUGCUUUGGAAACGGUAUAGCUUGAGUACUGGAGAGGCAGGAGGAAUGUGUAGUGUAGCGGUGAAAUGCGUAGAUAUUAGGAGGAACACCAGUGGCGAAGGCGGCCUGCGGGACAGAAACUGACGUUGAGGCUCGAAAGCGUGGGGAGCAAACAGGAUUAGAUACCCCUGUAGUC
rnacentral:rRNA from 1 species